GACGAACGCUGGCGGCGUGCUUAACACAUGCAAGUCGAGCGGUAAGGCCCCUUCGGGGGUACACGAGCGGCGAACGGGUGAGUAACACGUGGGUGACCUGCCCUCAGCUCUGGGAUAAGCCUGGGAAACUGGGUCUAAUACCGGAUAUGACUCCAUGACGCAUGUCGUGGGGUGGAAAGCCUUGUGCGGCUGGGGAUGGGCCCGCGGCCUAUCAGCUUGUUGGUGGGGUGAGGCCUACCAAGGCGACGACGGGUAGCCGGCCUGAGAGGGUCGACCGGCCACACUGGGACUGAGACACGGCCCAGACUCCUACGGGAGGCAGCAGUGGGGAAUCUUGCGCAAUGGGCGAAAGCCUGACGCAGCGACGCCGCGUGAGGGAUGACGGCCU
rnacentral:rRNA from 1 species